CCUACGGGAGGCUGCAGUGGGGAAUAUUGCACAAUGGGGGAAACCCUGAUGCAGCGACGCCGCGUGAGUGAAGAAGUAUUUCGGUACGUAAAGCUCUAUCAGCAGGGAAGAAAAUGACGGUACCUGACUAAGAAGCCCCGGCUAACUACGUGCCAGCAGCCGCGGUAAUACGUAGGGGGCAAGCGUUAGCCGGAUUUACUGGGUGUAAAGGGAGCGUAGACGGCAGCGCAAGUCUGGAGUGAAAUCCCAUGGCUUAACCAUGGAACUGCUUUGGAAACUGUGCAGCUAGAGUGCAGGAGAGGUAAGCGGAAUUCCUAGUGUAGCGGUGAAAUGCGUAGAUAUUAGGAGGAACACCAGUGGCGAAGGCGGCUUACUGGACUGUAACUGACGUUGAGGCUCGAAAGCGUGGGGAGCAAACAGGAUUAGAUACCCUAGUAGUC
rnacentral:rRNA from 1 species